UGAGCAGUGAUGAAAAGCUAACACGUAAGAAGACUCUCCUUUGUGGAGAAUUCUUCGAUGAGAUAUACUUGUUACGCUUGGCUUCUGAGCUUU
rfam:Jatropha curcas cultivar GZQX0401 scaffold211_38, whole genome shotgun sequence.